AUACGGAGGGUGCGAGCGUUAAUCGGAAUUACUGGGCGUAAAGAGUACGUAGGCGGGUUGAUCAGUCUGAUGUGAAAUCCCCGGGCUUAACCUGGGAACUGCAUUGGAUACUGUCAGACUUGAGUACAGGAGAGGAGAGUGGAAUUUCCAGUGUAGCGGUGAAAUGCGUAGAUGUUGGAAGGAACACCAGUGGCGAAGGCGGCUCUCUGGACUGAUACUGACGCUGAGGUACGAAAGCGUGGGUAGCAAACGGGAUUAGAAACCCCAGUAGUCC
rnacentral:rRNA from 1 species